AACGAACGCUGGCGGCAUGCCUAACACAUGCAAGUCGAACGAGAACGGGACUUCGGUCCUUAUUAGAGUGGCGCACGGGUGAGUAACGCGUAGACAAUCUACCUUCAAGUCUGGGAUAACCUUUCGAAAGGGAGGCUAAUACCGGAUAAAAAUUGGAAUCGAGUGGUUCUAAUUUAAAAGCUCCGACGCUUGGAGAUGAGUCUGCGUUCCAUUAGCUAGUUGGCAGGGUAAUGGCCUACCAAGGCGACGAUGGAUAGCGGGUCUGAGAGGAUGAUCCGCCACACUGGAACUGAGACACGGUCCAG
rnacentral:rRNA from 1 species